rnacentral:tRNA from 1 species
GGUUCCGUAAUGUAGUGGUUAUCACGUUCGCUUUACACGCGAAAGGUCCCCGGUUCGAUCCCGGGCGGAACCA